UCUUCCUCUCAUCUCUCAUCUCUCAUCUCUCAUCUCUCAUCUCUCAUCUCAUAUCAUUGUUAUCAAUCUCACUCUACCCGUACCCAUUUGGAAAUCACUUCAUUCUCUACCACACCACAAAUUUUAUUGAAUUUCCGUAAGAACAACAUCGUGGAUGAACUGUUCGUUUGUUGGUUCCGUAAGGUGCGCAUUGAAAUAGCAGAGAAGAACACAUACUCUGCACAUCGCCAUAGCAGCUUAAUGAUCCGAGCAACAAACUUCGGCAACCAUGGCGAUACAGAGAGCUUUCAUAAGAAACAAUCUAACUACUACGGCAAAAAAGAAAAAAUAAAAGAAAAAGAUAAGAAGGAAUACAACUCAAUAUCUACUCUAGAAACAUUCCUAGAUGCACAUGCAGACGGUUGACGAAGUAUAAAAUCUUCGUCGUCCAUGGUUGAUACAGACAGUGUUCUUAAGAUCUGGCCAAGAAGACAUAGAAAGAGUCAACAUUGAGCUGGAUUGAGCAGUUGACUGAAGAAGCUGAGCCAGAUUAGAUGCUUACCUCCCGAUCAUGGAACACGCAUUCUCGACAUUUGACAACCUCACUGCCGCUACAUUCUCUAACUCCAUAUGCACGAAUACAUCUUACCUUCAAUGCACAAGUGGUUUUCAUGGGUGUUAUCUGAUUGACCAAAAUGUAGAGAGGAGGCAUACUUGAACUGGUAUUUUUGACUGAUCUAACAAAGUGUUUGUAGUGAUGUGGAAUUACCGGGAUGUAUAUAAAAUGAUAUUAGACUCCUUUUAUAAACCAUGAAUUAGAGUUCUAUUAUAAAUGUUUAUUUGGGAUUCUUUA